rnacentral:tRNA from 1 species
GGGCCUGUAGCUCAGUUGGUUAGAGCAACGGACUCAUAAUCCGUCGGUCGGGGGUUCAAGUCCCUCCGGGCCCACCA